GAUGAAGAACGCAGCGAAAUGCGAUAAGUAAUGUGAAUUGCAGAAUUCAGUGAAUCAUCGAAUCUUUGAACGCACAUUGCGCCCGCCAGUAUUCUGGCGGGCAUGCCUGUCUGAGCGUCAUUUCAACCCUCACGCCCCUAGGGCGUGGUGUUGGGGAUCGGCCAAAGCCCGCGAGGGACGGCCGGCCCCUAAAUCUAGUGGCGGACCCGUCGUGGCCUCCUCUGCGAAGUAGUGAUAUUCCGCAUCGGAGAGCGAUGAGCCCCUGCCGUUAAACCACCAACUUUCCAAGGUUGACCUCAGAUCAGGUAGGAAUACCCGCUGAACUUAAGCAUAUCAAUAAGCGGAGGA
rnacentral:misc_RNA from 1 species